UACGGAAGCAGCAGUGGGGAAUAUUGCACAAUGGGCGAAAGCCUGAUGCAGCUAUGCCGCGUGUAUGAAGAAGGCCUUAGGGUUGUAAAGUACUUUCAUCGGGGAGGAAAAAACAAAACUAAUAAUUUUAUUUCUUGACGUUACCCGAAAAAGAAGCACCGGCUAACUCCGUGCCAGCAGCCGCGGUAAUACGGAGGGUGCUAGCGUUAAUCAGAAUUACUGGGCGUAAAGAGCACGUAGGUGGUUUUUUUAAAGUCAGAUGUGAAAUCCCUGGGCUUAACCUGGAACUGCAUUUUGAAACUGAAAUACUAGAGUAUCGUAGAGGGAGGUAGAAUUCUAGGUGUAGCGGUGAAAUGCGUAGAUAUCUGGAGGAAUACCUGUGGCGAAAGCGGCCUCCUAAACGAAUACUGACACUGAGGUGCGAAAGCGUGGGGAGCAAACAGGGAUUAGAUACC
rnacentral:rRNA from 1 species